GCCCUCGUGGUGGAAUUGGCAGACACGCCAGCUUUAGGAGCUGGUUCCGCAAGGAAUAGAGGUUCGAGUCCUCUCGAGGGCA
rnacentral:tRNA from 1 species